UACGGAGGGGGCAAGCGUUGUCCGGAUUUAUUGGGCGUAAAGAGCGUGUAGGCGGUUAGGUAGGUCCGUUGUGAAAACUCGAGGCUCAACCUCGAGACGCCGAUGGAAACCAUCUGACUAGAGUCCGGAAGAGGAGAGUGGAAUUCCUGGUGUAGCGGUGAAAUGCGCAGAUAUCAGGAAGAACACCCGUGGCUAAGGCGGCUCUCUAGUACGGUACUGACGCUGAGACGCGAAAGCGUGGGGAGCGAACAGG
rnacentral:rRNA from 1 species